rnacentral:misc_RNA from 1 species
UCUCGGCGGAGGGGGCAUCUCGUGUGCGCUUUUCUGAAGCACACGCGCGCACACAGAACUUCUUUUUCCGCCGUGCACUAGGACGUGCGGUAAGCGAGCGAGCCGUCGCCAUGCCCGGUGUUAACGCGUGGGGGCGCAUGCACACCCCGGCAAAGCAGUCGCAGUUCACGCUGGACAUGUUUGAGGAGUGGAAGGCGAAGCAGAACGAAGACAUCGCUCAACGCGGCGCCGACCGCGAUCCGGCAGUGGAGGAGGAGCACAACCGCUACAUGCUGCGGCAGAACCUGAACGCCUACGUGUGCUACAAGGAACUGGACAGAUACACGACAUGCCUCGAGGACAAGAAGCUGAUCCGCCGUCGCGACGACGAAGACGGUGCAAGGGGCGGCGGCACCGGUGUCUCCAUGGCGUCGUCCUUUGAGAUCAACACUCGAAACAAGGUGAAUGAGAAGCUAUGUCGGGCAACGCACAACGCGUACGUCUCUUGCAUGAGCUCGCAGAAAAACCAAGAGGUAGUGCUGCAGUCGGCAAGCCUUGAGCCGCACUGCACAGAGGGCCGCGCCAAAUUGUUCCACUGCCUACGCGAGAACCAGGUUUCAGAGGCGCAGACGAACACGCCGCAGUGCACGGACACCUACCGGAGUCUUCUCCGUUGUGGGCUGAACCACCUGUGGAACCACUACUGGCGCGAGAUCACGAAAUUUAGCGAUACGGACGAGUUCCACCUCUACGAGCUCUCACGCGACGACAACAAGAAGCAGGCCUAUCUGCGCGCCCUCACCACGUCGGAGGCGCAGCAGCAAUCGCAUCUGCGUGAGGCGCGAGAUAUAAUGCUCGGCUACUACCUGGACCCUAAGGCGUCGCAGAAGGGCAACUCAUGAGGACCAAAGGGGGGGGGAGGCUGCGGGGGAGGGGGCGUUGAGGCGAGAUAGAGAGAAGGGGUUUUCUCUUCUGUGCGUGACACCAAUCGCUCUGCACCGUGCGCGCGCCUGACCGCUCUGUAUGCCUUCAUCCCUCCCUCGCUCUCUGCUCUCGUAGGCCGCGGCUGAAGCUGUGGCACUUCUUGGCGUGGAAAGUCUCUUCGGCGCGUACAUGCGUGCCCGUGUGCACGGCGGGGCGAAUGGCAUCGUCUUGCUGUGCUGAAUGAACACUACUGCGGCCGGCUCAAUUUCGACACGGACAUCACAGUGAUGCACAUAUCGCGUACCUCAACGAAAGCCAGUGAGCGCGAUAGCAGGGCUCACGAAACAGGCGCGUGAGUAGCGCUCUUUUCUUUUCAGAGGCCACACUGCGAAGCGCCGCAUCGAGGCGGUCGCGCAACUCAAACCCUCGCAGCUGUGCGCCAGGACAUCAAGGGUGGACUGAAGAGCCCCCGCAACGAGGCGAGACGCGCAGUGGGGAGAGGAGGGCGGUGAUGGCCGUGCAACUGUGCUCGUGUGCGUGUGUGUGCCACUGCGCUUCGAGAGACCCCCACUUGAUCGUGCUCAACUACACCAUUUCAGCGCAUCUUUGCCCCUGCGCAUUGUUGCUCGCAGAGCCUUCUGCCAUGUCAGUGACUGCUACCGCCUGCACACUGAUGCUCCUCGCUCAUUUCCACUGGCCUGUGACCCCCCUCCAACACGCACACACAUAAACACACCGUUGCUCAUCGAUAUGUAUACAGGUGUAUAUUCCUGCUAUCCGAAAGCGGUGUGUGCUCGGGCGGUGGUGAUGGGAGGGGAUGAUGAAGUGCGCCUGAGAACCGAAACGGCCUUUCACGAGCCUCAUCAAUGGAAUCCGUAGCGCCUUGUGUUCGCCUUUCGACACACACACACAAACACACACCCUCGGCUGCUACUGUCCCCUCGAUAGUCACAAGGCUCGCCUUCCUGGCCUGCGUGAAGCUCCUCUGGGACUUACUUCCCCGCUUGCCACGCCCGCACUCGCCCCACGUUGGAGGCAGAACCCCCAGCUAGCGUGUUAUGAGCAGAGCCACCAAAGCCAGAGACCAAAAGCGCAACUCGCCGAAUGUCUGGAGUUACUCCCCCGGGAGAUUCGCGUGCCUGCGUGCUCAGCUGUCCUACGGUGACCAUGGUU